GACGAAGGUGGCGAGCGUUGUUCGGAAUCACUGGGCUUAAAGAGCACGUAGGCGGACCGUUUUGCACUUUGUGAAAUCCCCCGGCUUAACCGGGGAAUUGCUUGGUGAACGGACGGUCUUGAGGCAGGUAAGGGCGUGGAGAACUCUUGGUGGAGCGGUGGAAUGCGUAGAUAUCAAGAGGAAUGCCGGAGGUGAAGACGCCGCGCUGGGCCUGUCCUGACGCUGAGGUGCGAAAGCCAGGGGAGCAAACGGG
rnacentral:rRNA from 1 species